AACCUACAGCCUCGGCACACGCUCCAGAGGACCGAGCUGUCUGGCCAGGGCUCGCCCGCCUACCGAUCUUGAGCACCUGCAGCACUUGGCUUUGAGGGCACUGUUAGUGCCCCCUCGAGGGGCAGGGUCUAGUCGGAGCCAGCCAGCCACGGGGCAGUAAGUGGGGCUGGACCCCACGGAAGCAAGGUUAUCUCUGAGAUGAGGGAGGUGCAAAUGCAAAUUGCUUUUACAAUGGUUGAAAGAAAUACUUGAAUUGCAAUGUUACAGAACAAACAAAUGAGUCCCAGCUGCCCAGUCCUGCUCUCCUGACUUUUCCGCCGAAGCUCAGAGGCCCCUGGACAGGGAUUUUGGUGUGGCUUCUGGUUGCUGGGCCUGACCACCUGACAGCUCUUCAGGGCCACACACUCCGACUUCCGACUUCCGACUUCCGACUUCCGGGGAUGCCCAGCGUCUCACCCGGAAGUUCAUCGAAGGCCUUGAUGAAAGCACUCAGAGAGAGAGGAAGAGAGAGAGAAAAAUCGAUAUGAAAGAGAAACAUUGUUGGGGAUCUAACUCCCAACCCCGG